rnacentral:rRNA from 1 species
GACGGAGGGUGCUAGCGUUGUUCGGAAUGACUGGGCGUAAAGGGCGCGUAGGCGGCCGACCCAGUCGGGUGUGAAAGCCCGGGGCUCAACCCCGGAACGGCACCCGAUACUGGUUGGCUGGAGACCGAGAGAGGUGAGUGGAAUACCCAGUGUAGAGGUGAAAUUCGUAGAUAUUGGGUGGAACACCGGUGGCGAAAGCGGCUCACUGGCUCGGUACUGACGCUGAGGCGCGAAAGCGUGGGGAGCAAACAGG